UAUAAGAUGCCUGAAUAAAGGAUAAUUUUGAUAGAAUUAAUCAUGUGAGAAAUCACUCUUAUAA
rnacentral:tRNA from 1 species